rnacentral:tRNA from 2 species
GGGGGUGUAGCUCAGUUGGUUAGAGCGCUGGCCUGUCACGCCAGAGGUCGCGGGUUCGAGCCCCGUCACUCCCG